rnacentral:tRNA from 1 species
GGGGCUGUAGCUCAGUUGGGAGAGCGCUUGAAUGGCAUUCAAGAGGUCAGGGGUUCGAAUCCCCUCAGCUCCACCU